AGUUUGAUCCUGGCUCAGAACGAACGCUGGCGGCAGGCCUAACACAUGCAAGUCGAGCGCGCCCUUCGGGGUGAGCGGCGGACGGGUGAGUAACGCGUGGGGACGUGCCUUUCGGUGCGGGAUAGCCCGGGGAAACCCGGAUUAAUACCGCAUGCGCCCUGAGGGGGAAAGAUUUAUCGCCGAGAGAUCGACCCGCGUUGGAUUAGGUAGUUGGUGGGGUAAUGGCCUACCAAGCCGACGAUCCAUAGCUGGUUUGAGAGGAUGAUCAGCCACACUGGGACUGAGACACGGCCCAGACUCCUACGGGAGGCAGCAGUGGGGAAUCUUAGACAAUGGGGGCAACCCUGAUCUAGCCAUGCCGCGUGAGUGACGAAGGCCCUAGGGUCGUAAAGCUCUUUCGCCAGGGAAGAUAAUGACGGUACCUGGUAAAGAAGUCCCGGCUAACUCCGUGCCAGCAGCCGCGGUAAUACGGAGGGGACUAGCGUUGUUCGGAAUUACUGGGCGUAAAGCGCACGUAGGCGGGCUGUUAAGUCGGGGGUGAAAUCCUGGGGCUCAACCCCAGAACUGCCCUCGAUACUGGCAGCCUCGAGUCCGAGAGAGGUGAGUGGAAUUCCGAGUGUAGAGGUGAAAUUCGUAGAUAUUCGGAGGAACACCAGUGGCGAAGGCGGCUCACUGGCUCGGUACUGACGCUGA
rnacentral:rRNA from 1 species